GACGAACCGUACGAACGUUAUUCGGAAUCACUGGGCUUAAAGGGUGCGUAGGCUGCGCAGCAAGUUGGGUGUGAAAUCCCUCGGCUUAACCGAGGAACUGCGCCCAAAACUGCUGUGCUCGAGGGAGAUAGAGGUGAGCGGAACUUAGGGUGGAGCGGUGAAAUGCGUUGAUAUCCUAAGGAACACCGGUGGCGAAAGCGGCUCACUGGAUCUCUUCUGACGCUGAGGCGCGAAAGCUAGGGGAGCAAACAGG
rnacentral:rRNA from 1 species